rnacentral:rRNA from 1 species
UACGAAGGGGGCUAGCGUUGCUCGGAAUCACUGGGCGUAAAGGGUGCGUAGGCGGGUUUUUAAGUCAGGUGUGAAAUCCUGGAGCUCAACUCCAGAACUGCCUUUGAUACUGAAGAUCUUGAGUCCGGGAGAGGUGAGUGGAACUGCGAGUGUAGAGGUGAAAUUCGUAGAUAUUCGCAAGAACACCAGUGGCGAAGGCGGCUCACUGGCCCGGUACUGACGCUGAGGCACGAAAGCGUGGGGAGCAAACAGG